rnacentral:sRNA from 1 species
CAGUGAGAGGUAUGAUGUACUAUCGGCAUGCUUUGGAGCUUCAGGCAUUCCUUGAUAUAGCCAGACAUGAAGG